CACUGAUUGUCAGCACCUGUGUGCUGCUGCUCCUCAGACCAAGUGUGCAACCAGCCCAAGGAGGUUGCUGGUUUUCUCCUUGCCUGGAGAUGUAAGCAGAUGUACUUUGUCCGGUGGUUUGUAAGUGAGUAAUUUCAGCGUCUACAGAGACUACGAGGGAUCUUUGGCCAUUGCUUCUGGGAGGAUUGCAGCGUAGAGGCUUUGUUGUGGCAAUCACUGUUUCUCUUGUUCUUUUGUCUUUUCUUUUGGUUAUAUGUGAUUGUUUACAUAUGCUUGUGUUUUUUUUUUCUGCUAGCCAGCAGUGGUGAUAAUUGCUGAUCGAUAGAUCAGCUUGUGUGAGUUGCGUGAACUACUACGCUGGUUAGCAGGUUUAUAUUUGUUUUGUUUUUUGUUUUGUUUGUCAAACCAUUCCCUAAGUGUCUUUGUCUAACCCAGUGUCUAUUGCAUGUAUGUGGCUGUUGGGAGGUGGAGCGGGGUUUAUGUUGUGGCCUGUUUGCUUGAGUUUGAAUCCUUUGUUUGGCACCUGUUGAGGCCCUGGGUGUAUUUGAUCUUUUGUUUGGUUGUUGAGUCCUUUUUCUUGGUUGUAACCCCCCUGCUCUGUCUCAAAUUGGAUGAUUAGAAGCUGUGGUUGAUGUAGCUAACUGUGGGGAAGGCUUACUAAAUGUUGCAUGUGCUCUCAAACUGUUCUCCUUGAAAUACAUGUAAAAUAAAUUAUGUUUUUAUAUUCUCAA